GGAAAAUAUGGUGAAGCAUAUCUUCCCUUUGGCUUCACCUGCACAAGUGCCGAGGACCUGCAGUGUUGGGGAAAAGGUGCUUGUCCUUGACCUCAUGGCCACCACUCCAAGAGGCACCAGGGGCGAGUGUUCAGUUUUUUGAACCAGAACUAUGUGGGACACACCUGGGCUGAACUGGUGCAGGCCGUGCAGGAGCAGGUGAGGAGCAGCAGUUUAGACCUGAAGAGGGCGCUGCAGAGCUGUGGAGCCGCUGUCCUCGGUGCUCACGGAGAGACCUCAUACAGUCACGGUGCAGAUACGGUUGGGAGAAAAAGCCACCUGACAGCAGACAUCUUUGUCGUUGCUACAGGAGAGAGACCUCAGUAUCUUGGCAUACCAGGGGACAGAGAGUACUGCCUAACUAGGUCAACUAACACCUCUACAGCAAAAAAACCAUCUAAAAUGUAUUGACCAUCACCUUAAAAUACAUUUCCUUCUUUCCUUCUACCUUUCCUGGAGUUCAGUUUUUUUAAUAAAACCAAAUUACAACAGUCACGUCAAGGUACUUUAUAUUUUAAGGUAAAGA